GUCUGAACUCAAAUCAGGUAAGAUUACCCGCUGAAUUUAAGCAUAUUAAUAAGCGGAGGAAAAGAAACUAACAAGGAUUCCCUUAGUAACGGCGAGUGAAGCGGGAACAGCUCAAGCUUGAAAUCGGCAGGUGGAGAACGCGUGCCGAGUUGUAGCUUUUGGAGGCAGUUUCAAGCUGCUGGUUGCGGUAAAAGUUCUUUUGAAUAAGACAUCAUAGAGGGUGAUAAUCCCGUCAUUGACCGUGGCCAAAGUGGCGAUGCGAACUGUUUUCUGCGAGUCGGGUUGUUUGGGAAUGCAGCCCUAAUUGGGAGGUAAAUUUCUUCCAAAGCUAAAUAUCAGUAAGAGACCGAUAGCAAACAAGUACCGUGAGGGAAAGAUGAAAAGCACUUUGAAAAGAGAGUGAAAAGUACGUGAAAUUGUUGAAAGGGAAGCGGUUGGUAGCCAAGCAUUUCCUGCGGCGAGGGCAUUUAUGUCAGCGCUGUGGGAGGGUCAACAUCGAUUGCAAUUUGAACUGCCAGAAAGGAAAUUAUGCAGGUUAGCGGAGGAAGGUAGGGAGGCGAGUUUCCGUUCUUCAUUCGUGGGGAGCGGUGCUAUGGCUUGCUUUCUGUUAUAGCCUCCAUGGGCUUGCUAUAUAUACGCCUAGUGGGUGGUGGCGAUCGAGGACUGCAGCGCGUUUUGGGGCGGAUUUCCGCACCGAUGGCCUGAACGUUCCGGGGACAUUUGUAGCUGCGUUUGCGGUAGACAGCGUGCUGACUGCUGCGGGUAGGCUAUAUGUUUCCUGGGGGUUUUUAGGACUAAACAGCGCUUGGGAUGUUGGCGAAAAGGCACUAAUCGACCCGUCUUGAAACACGGACCAAGGAGUCCAACAUGCAUGCGAGUAUCUGGGAACACUUAAGCCCAUAUGCGCAAUGAAAGUGAAAUAGUAGAAACUUUUAUUAGAAUGCAACCGGGGGGUCAAAGCUCCGGGCAGCAUCGACCGACUUUCGAUAGCGUUGCUUGAAGAGGUUGAGUAAGAGCAUGUAUGCUGGGACCCGAAAGAUGGUGAACUAUGCCUGAAUAGGGUGAAGUCAGAGGAAACUCUGAUGGAAGCUCGUAGAGAUUCUGACGUGCAAAUCGAUCUCCAAAUUUGGGUAUAGGGGCGAAAGACUAAUCAAACCAUCUAGUAAACUGGUUCCUGA
rnacentral:rRNA from 2 species